UACGUAGGGUGCAAGCGUUAAUCGGAAUUACUGGGCGUAAAGCGUGCGCAGGCGGUGAUGUAAGACAGAUGUGAAAUCCCCGGGCUUAACCUGGGAAUGGCAUUUGGGACUGCAAGGCUGGAGUGCGGCAGAGGAGACUGGAAUUCCUGGUGUAGCAGUGAAAUGCGUAGAUAUCAGGAGGAAUACCGAUGGCGAAGGCAGGUCUCUGGGCUGACACUGACGCUCAUGCACGAAAGCGUGGGGAGCAAACAGG
rnacentral:rRNA from 1 species